CACAACAGCCCUCUGGGAGGGCAAGUGGAAGAGUGAGUAGAUCAGCUGGAUAGGAGUGAGGAGUUGGAGGAAGGGUUGGGGUAUGGCCAGUGCAGUUAAGUGACUUGCCUUAGUGCACACCCCCAGAAAGUGACAGCACCAGCAUUUGAACCCUGACACAAGCAUCUCCAAAACUGCAUUCUUCCCACUGUGCCACAGUUAAGAUGAGUCCACCAGCCCUGUUUAGACUUUGGUGUUUGAACUGCGUUUUGAAGGCAAAGAAGUCAGAUAGACAAAUGAAAGAGAGGGAAAAGGCACUCCAGGUAGCAGGAACAGCAUGUGCAGAAUCAAAGAGGCAUGAAGAAAACUUAAAAUGUAGUCUUCCAAGUCAUGUACCCUAG
rnacentral:lncRNA from 10 species